AUGAGUUCCGAGGGUGUCGGGGAAGAUUGUCUUGCAUGGGCAGCAAGAGAUGCAUCUGGAGUUUUAUCGCCUUAUAAAUUCAAUCGCAGGGCUCUUGGGAGUGACGACGUAUAUAUUAAAAUUACACACUGUGGUGUUUGUUAUGCUGAUGUAAUUUGGACAAGGAAUAAACACGGAGAUUCAAAGUAUCCUGUUGUGCCUGGACAUGAGAUUGCUGGGGUUGUGGCAAAGGUUGGUCCUAAUGUCAAGGUUUCAAGGUUGGUGACCAUGUUGGAGUGGGGACUC